GUGCUUGCUUCUGCAGAAUAUAUACUAAAAUUGGAACAAUGCAGAGAAGAUUAGCAUGGCCCCUGUGCAAGGAUGACACGCAAAUUCGUGAAGUGUUCCAUAUUUUU
rnacentral:snRNA from 1 species